CUGCGGACAGGCUUCCUGGAAAGAAAGUUUGAAUAUGUGAUGGAUGUGGGGAGCGUUCAGCACUCAUUCAACUCAACCAAUGGUCAAUACAUGUGGAUCCACUCUGUGCAGAGCCCGUGGGGGAUCCUUCGUGGGAACUGGAGAUGAGUGGAUGUGGGCUCCCCCCUCAGGAGGUCUGAGGCCUCUCAAGAGAAUAGGAAACAGAUCCACAGACAAUUUACACAGCCACACAGUGCCAACUGUUACUGACACGCAACGCCCUGGGCUGGGCCCGCUGGUGAGAAGAAGAGGAUUCUGGCCCUUGGGACAGUCAAGUUCCAUCCAGUCAGCGUUUCACAAACACGUGUUUGGUUCAUGCAUUUUAGACGUGUCAAGCUCAGGGCUUGUGUGACACAUGUAAGUGAAGACAUUCAUGUGUGGAGCUCAGAAUCUAUAGAAAAAUAAGUCAGGGACAAAGUCAAGUUACCAUCAUCACUGUUCUCUAUUUCCACUGUAUUUCAGAACCUUUGUGUACUUUCUCCCAAUAGAAGAAACGGUACUUUGUACUGAACCAGGAAGCCUUCUGCUGUUUUUUCCUUUCAGGGGCUUCCUUGGGAACACAGGCUGCUGCAGGAAGUCCUCCCAGACUGCUGCCCGCUUCCCUGUGUGGUGUGUAUACAUGGGCACCAGGGCCGGUGUUCUGGGCCACUCUUUUAAUCCUCAUCUCUCAUCCACGCCCUCUCCCCUCCUCCCAAUAGAAGCUCCAUAUCCUCGAACCAAUCCCUUGACUUAUUCAGAGAACGUUUAUUUAUGUGGGUUUUUUUUUUUUUUAAAUCUGUGUAUGAGACUACGUGAAGGUUUUAUUUUGUGUGAAUGUCACUUUGGGGGUAGGGUAUAGUUCUAUAUGGUUUUUUGAGCGCAGUCUGACACGGGGGCCUGGACUAUAGACUUGUGUGAGCAUUUGCACGUACACGGAGUAUCUAAUAGAGUGGGUAGAGCCAAGGAACAGAUGUAUUUGUUCUCUAACAAUGAAUGAGCUUAUUUGUGAGCAAAUGCCAGUGGGUUUUUAUCAAAAUACCAGCUAUAAGUUAUUACUCUUUGUGGUUUGAUGGGCAAAUAGCAUUUUAUACUGAGGCAA